GACGAACGCUGGCGGCGUGCUUAACACAUGCAAGUCGAACGGUGAAGCGCCUUCCUUUUUGGUGGGUGUGGAUGAGUGGCGAACGGGUGAGUAACACGUGAGUAACCUGCCCCCUUCUUCUGGAUAACCGCAUGAAAGUGUGGCUAAUACGGGAUAUUCUGGGUCUGUCGCAUGAUGGGUCUGGGUAAGAUAUUGUGUCUGUGGGGGAUGGGCUCGCGGCUUUGCAGGUUGUUGGUGGGGUGAUGGCCUUCCAAGGCUGUGCCGGGUAGGCGGCCUGGGAGGGUGGACGGUCAGACUGGGACAGCGACAAGGUCGGGACUCCGACGGGAGGCAGCAGUGGGGAAUAUUGCACAGUGGGGGAAAGCCUAAUGCAGCGACGACGCGUGAGGAAUGACGGCCUGCGGGUUGUGAACCUCUUUCGGCAGUGAAGCAGGCCUGCCUCGUUUGUGGGUGGGUUGACGGUAGCUGGAAAAGAAGCGCCGGCUAACUACGUG
rnacentral:rRNA from 1 species